rnacentral:lncRNA from 1 species
AAAAUGAAUGACAAUCACAAACUGAGAGAAAAUUUGCAGUGACUGUGCUUUACAGAAAGUACACCGAAUCAUUUCCAGGAGUUGAGUUUUCCCCUGCCAAAAUACUGCCCUAUUUGGGAUCUCCAGAGGAUGUAUCCAAACAAAUCUGACUGCUAACAGGAGACCUUCUGGAUGGUGUUUUUCAAGACCCCCAAAAGAAGCGGUAGGAGGAGAAGCUUCUCCAUUGCAUCCAGAGGGCACCGUGUGUCCUGGCACCUGUGUUCCAAGGCAUCCCUACAUUACAAGUAUCCCACUCCCAAGCGUGGGAAGGGGCUGCGCCCUGGGUACCUGCACAGGGUCUCGCCAGCCUGGAGCUGCUGCCUCGGUGCUGGAGGAGCCCCUCCUCACUCCACCAGCCUGGAGCUGCCCCAGCGACAAGUCCAGGGACUUCUGCAUCACUCAUUUUGGCACAGGCUGCUGGGUUUGGGAUGUGCUGGCCCAACAGCAGAUGGCUCAGCCAGCCUGCAACCAGCCACGUCUCACCAGCUCCUGGCAAUCUCACCUACAGAUGGAAAGCUGGCCUUCAACAGUACUUGAUUUCUGCUUGCUGUCUGCUGCUUCCUGUAAAGCUAGAUACACACUGAGGUAAGACUUGAAACCACAGGGUCUGUGGUUUACAUUGUGUUGACUUUUCCCAUCAGAAAAAUCUGUACUGUUAGAUAGCUUAUUGGUUUUGAAUUACAAAAUACACCAUUUCAGUAGUUAAUUAUGCUUCCAUGUUUUUUUCCCCCUGUAAGUGUAUUUCCUUUUUCUAAGCCUUACCAAUUCAAUUUCUCAUUUAUGUGGAUUUAACUCUGUUUAAAGGGAAGGAUGCAGUGUUUUAAAUAAUACACUCUUAGAGAGAAGAUGAACUGGAGUGCUGUGAUACACUGGCAAGCUGAUUCACUGCCCGAGCUAUUCUCAGCACCAGCAUGGUCAGAGGCAUGGAGAGCAGAGGGGGGAGGUGAGGCAGAAGACAACUAUUACAAAGUAAUUUAGCCUGUGGAAAGUGAAAUGGCAGCAACUGUUAUCUGAUUGACUGCUGUGUGAAAAAGAGUUCAAGUCAGGCGACCGUGCUGCACAGAGCCUUUGCUGUCCAGCUCACAUCCACAAGCUCCAGGAGCUCUGACCCUGAGCGUAGGCUGUGUGUUCCCAUAACGUCAGACGUCUAGUUCUGGGCUUGGGUUUUGAGGCUUGAAUGAAUGUAUAAAGCUGCACACUGACUCUAUUUAUGCAACAUCUUAGCCAGGUCCCAGGCACUGGAGUUGUAAAUUACAUAUCACAUCAAGGCACGAGGGAAUAUUAAAGAAAGCAGGAUGGGUCUUGAGAAGUUUCCAUAUUCAUUUGUGUACUUCAGUCAAAUAUCUUAUGAUCUGUAACAUCACACUGGUAUAAAAACACUUCAGACUUCACAUCAUGCAUGGUUUGAAGUUAAUGCUUCUAAAAUGAAUGCUUUUUUUCUUGCAAAACUUAACCAUCCCCAUAGAGCAUAGUCUGAAUGGAGAAAGACAUAUUAAUCUACUUAUCAUUUACAUAAAUUUUGUACAUGCAAAAUUAGGACUCUGUGGAUUUGUUUCCGUACAUUUUUGUAAGUAAUUGAAUCCAUUAGCCUUCGCUAUGGAAUCUCACUAAUCUGUCCAUUGAUCCCUAUUAAGUAUUGAUGGUCACUUUGUGAGUAAGAAGUGUGAGAACAGUCUCUUGCCAUUCUUGUGUAUAAUUUUCACUCGAAGAAUCAUAAAAACUUAGUGGCAAACCAAAUCUCUAAAACACACACUAACACCACAAGACUAAGAUAUAAAAGCAAUUUAUUCAAAAAAAUGUGGUGGUGUCAAAUCACAUACACAAGCCAAUAUUGAGCUACAAACACAGACCAAACAGUUCUAUAAACAGAAAUUGGAGUGUUCAUAUACCAUAGUACCUGAAAAAGACUGUUAAUAAAAAGGAGUCCAUAAGUAUUUCA